rnacentral:rRNA from 1 species
GAUGAACGCUGGCGGCGUGCCUAAUACAUGCAAGUCGAGCGAACAGACGAGGAGCUUGCUCCUCUGACGUUAGCGGCGGACGGGUGAGUAACACGUGGAUAACCUACCUAUACGACUGGGAUAACUUCGGGAAACCGGAGCUAAUACCGGAUAAUAUAUUGAACCGCAUGGUUCAAUAGUGAAAGACGGUUUUGCUGUCACUUAUAGAUGGAUCCGCGCCGCAUUAGCUAGUUGGUAAGGUAACGGCUUACCAAGGCAACGAUGCGUAGCCGACCUGAGAGGGGGAUCGGCCACACUGGAACUGAGACACGGUCCAGACUCCUACGGCAGGCAGCAGUAGGGAAUCUUCCGCAAUGGGCGAAAGCCUGACGGAGCAACGCCGCGUGAGUGAUGAAGGUCUUCGGAUCGUAAAACUCUGUUAUUAGGGAAGAACAAAUGUGUAAGUAACUAUGCACGUCUUGACGGUACCUAAUCAGAAAGCCACGGCUAACUACGUG